UACAGAGGUGCCAAGCGUUAGGCGGAAUCACUGGGCUUAAAGCGCGUGUAGGCGGGUCGUUAAGUGUCUUGUGAAAUCCCACGGCUCAACCGUGGAACUGCUGGGCAUACUGACGAUCUUGAGGCACUCAGGGGCUGUCGGAACAAAUGGUGGAGCGGUGAAAUGCGUAGAUAUCAUUUGGAACGCCAACGGUGAAAACAGACAGCUGGGGGUGUCCUGACGCUGAGACGGCGAAAAGCCAGGGGGAGCGAACGGG
rnacentral:rRNA from 1 species